rnacentral:rRNA from 1 species
AUUGAACGCUGGCGGCAUGCCUUACACAUGCAAGUCGAACGGCAGCAUGGAGGAGCUUGCUCCUCUGAUGGCGAGUGGCGAACGGGUGAGUAAAGCAUCGGAACGUACCGUGUAGUGGGGGAUAACGUAGCGAAAGUUACGCUAAUACCGCAUACGCACUGAGGUGGAAAGCAGGGGAUCGCAAGACCUUGCGCUAUACGAGCGGCCGAUGUCAGAUUAGCUAGUUGGUAGGGUAAAGGCCUACCAAGGCGACGAUCUGUAGCGGGUCUGAGAGGAUGAUCCGCCACACUGGGACUGAGACACGGCCCAGACUCCUACGGGAGGCAGCAGUGGGGAAUUUUGGACAAUGGGGGAAACCCUGAUCCAGCCAUGCCGCGUGAGUGAAGAAGGCCUUCGGGUUGUAAAGCUCUUUCGGCCGGGAAGAAAUCGCACAGGCUAAUACUCUGUGUGGAUGACGGUACCGGCAUAAGAAGCACCGGCUAACUACGUGCCAGCCGCCGCAGUAA